rnacentral:lncRNA from 1 species
GUAAAUUCAUAAAAUAAUACCAAACACCCCAAGACGACCUCCAAGAUAGAAACCCCCAAUAUUGCAAAGCAAAGAUUCUUAAAAAGAUCCAGAAUGCCUAGAAGGAACAAUUUAAACAAGAAGGUUGAAAUUCGAAUGAGAAAGAAAAAAUGAAUAACAUCAAUUCAAUGGUAGUGUAAGACUCUAAUACACACGGAAGUGUUUUAAAUUGAACUAACUAACGGAUUAGGUCCACAAUUGAACUCUAAAUAUAGGCAAAUACCAGCUUUUCGGUCUCGGUCUCUAUGUUCCCUCUCCCUUUCCGUUGCCCUUCCUUGUACUCGUCCCGAUUCCCGACUGCUCUCUCGUGUCGCGGCUCCUCCCGAUGCCUCCCGAAUGAUUCUGCACGACGGGACUGCUCCGCUUUCUAUCUAUUCCUCAUUGUCUGAUCACGGUCUCUCUAUUCCUGUCGGAUCUCGCACCCUCUCCUCUCCAUCUCUAUUUCGGUAUUCGGUUACGACGCCGAUUCCUUCCCAUUCCUCUCCUCUCUGUUCACUUAUCCUUAUCCCUGUCUCUAGGUUCUCGACUACUUCUAGGCCGCUCCCUAUCACUCUUUCUCCAUCUUUCAGAGAUGCACGGUGAGAAGCCCUCAAUUUCCGAUCAUGAGAGUAUCCCCAGACUUCAAAGCGCUUUGAUCGGUGAUUCAAAUCAUCGUCAUUUCUCACUUUUGUUUGGAAAUCCAGAUCGAUUCUUUCUCCCGGGAGUCAGUGCUUCUUGUCCCAUCCAUGACUCCUUCAUGUAUUUAUCUUGGGGUUAAGUUUAGGAUUACAGGUAUUUAUUUGGGGGAUGAAGUUAAGGGUUACAGCUGUGGGAUUGGGGGAUUUAGGAUUACAGUGUUGGAGUUGUGAUUCAAGAAUAUAGCUGUUAGAUUUACACUUUUUCCAUUCACAAGUAUGGGAAUGUUCCAAUUUUCCGCCUAUAAAAAAACCUUCUCACUUGUCACUAAGUAUAUAAACUUUUGUAAAGGAGGUGGCACGAACGGGACUGCUUUAACAGCCAUAGGUACAUUAUUUUUUGUUUGUUGUCGUCAAACUAAAUAAACGAGGAGAAAGAAAUGGUUCGAAUUGGGACGAGCUAAAAAGGUUAAAGCUCAAUUUACUAAAAUUAAAAAUUUAAGAUUUAAUUUGUUACCAAAGUACAAACCUUAGGGAUUUUUUAGUCAUUUUCUCAAUUAAUUUUUAUAAAAAAGAAUAUAUACGAUCUGCAGGAAGUUUUUAUUUUUUAUCUAAGGAAAAAGGAGAUUUCACCCAUUAUACAGGUCACUGAUAAGGAUAACUUGGAAUAAAAGAAAUGAAUUCAUGAAAAUUAUCUCAUUUUCCCCUAUUUGAAUGAUUUUAAAAACAAAUUUUUAUUAAAAUCCAAUUUGAGGAAUCUCACAUAGUAAAGACAAAAAAUAAGUGUCAUUUUAGGGGGGAAAAAGAGUGUAAUUUAAGAAGAAAUUAUAAACUUUGCCAUCAAAGCUCUUUGGACCUUAUUUUUGCCUUCUCCUAAAAUUAUCAUUUUGAAUUAGUUGUUUAUAAUUUGGGGGUUAUUAUUGUAGGGUAUGACGAUAAUUAUUACUUUACCCUUGUCUUUAGGAAACUCAAGGCAUAUAGACAUAAAAGAGAUGUUAAAGACAUUAAGGAAAGAAUUAUAGCUGUGAAAGUAUUAAACGAGGGAAGAGAAAAUUUAUACAACAAUUAAAUGUUUAAAAACAAAAAAAAAGUAAUAAAAAAUAAAAAAACGAUAAUAAAAAAAGAAACUAAUAAGAACCAGAAAAUAAAAUAAAAAAUAGAAACAUAAACUAAUAACAUAAAUAGAAAUAAAAAAUAAAAAUAGAAACAGAAAUGUAAACUAAUAAGUAUACAAGUAUAUAUGAAUGAUAUGACAUGUACAGUCUCUCUAUCAAUGCGAACAUUUAUUUUGAAUGAAUGAAUUUAAUACUAAAUUUUUAUUGGUUACAAAAAUAAAUAUACAUGUCUCACUUUCACACACGAAAAGAAAAAAAAAUUAAAGAAAAAAGGAUUUCCAAAAACGGCGUGACGCCACCAAGUGCUGCGUGGACAUUGGUACACAUGCAAAGUUAAAACAAGGAGAAAAUGGGCAUUUGGUUGGAUUUUUUUGUUAAAAUUUAAAAACUGGGCUCAAUUGUGACAAAAUCAUGAUAUAUGGAAGUACAAUUUAAUUUCAAAACGUAAAUGGGGUGAGAGUGUGAUUUUAGUGAAAUCCAAGGGGUGUCAGUGAAAUUUACCCUAAUUUAUAUGAUAUCUAAACUAUUUAUAGGGAUAUAUGUUGAAGAUUUGUAUGUAUUCCGUCAAAAAUUUAGCUAGGAAAUCACUAAAAAAUUAUCCAUAUUACUAAUAAAAUAACCCAUAAUUAUUAUUUAUUUCUUAAUAUACUAUUUUUUUUUGGUUAUGUCGCCAUUUAUAAAAAGAGUAAAUUAUAUUUUGCACCCUUAUACUUGUACCAAAAUAUAUUUUUAUAUCAUUGAAAGGAAAAAUAAUAAUUGUUAAAAAAAAGUAUGAUUGUUUUGAAAAUAUAUUAUUUUAAGAAAUACUUCCGUUGGACCAAUAAAACCUUAUUAAAACUAUGGGAGUUAAAAAAAAAUUAUAGCAUAGAAUCAAUAAAUAGUAAAAGAAUAAUAAAUAAAUAAUAGAAAAAUAGAAAAAUAGAACAAAACAGAUAAGUGUUAAAAAAAACGACUAGUUACAAUUUAAAUUAUUGAUUUUGAGUUAUAAUUUAGCUCUUAAUUGAUGGGAUGGUGUGGAUGCUCAACUAUUUAAGGCUGUUUGGCAGGAAGCAUAUGGGGGGGAUAACUUUUGAAUGGGAUAAUUUUUAGAGAGGGGAUAAACUUUUAAUUUAUUGGAUGCUUUUUAGGAAUGGGUGAUUAAGGGUGGAGGAUAAGGAGAAAAUAUAUAUAGAUAAACAAAAUAUAAAACAUUUAGAUAUUAAACAUAUAGAUUUAUUUCUCUCCUCUAUAUAAAAAAAACUUUAGAUUUUAUUUGUAUUUAUAUAUUUUUUUUAUUAUCCUCCACACCCCUUAUCUUCGGAUACUUUUAGUUAGGGUUAGGCCACCCAAAAAUAAAUCUGCCUUUAUCCACCUCCGGGGCCAUAAAUUAUCCACCUCCAUAUCUGCAGCCAAACGCCGGGAAGAAAAAUAUCCGGGAAAAAAGUUAUUCCAUCUAAAUCGAUAGCCAAACAACCCUUGGGUUUAUAGCAGUUACGAUAGUCAUCCCCCAUUUGAUGAACCGUUAAAAUUCUAAUACUAACAAUACUUCCAAGCAUUGAGGUCCUGUUUGGAUGGCUAGAAUCCUCAAUUCGGAAUGGGAAUCACUUUUUUGGGUUUCUCAUUCCUAUAUUCAAAAAUUCAAGAAUCCGUUGUAGAAAAAAAAAAAUAAUAUUAUAUUCAUUUGUUUGGAAAAAAAAAAAAAACAGAAUAGAAAACAGAAAUCAAAAACUGAAAAUAGCAUAAUAAAUGAAAAAUAGAAAAAAGAAACAUAAAAGAAUAGGAAUAGAAAUGAAAGAUAGAAAGAGACGAGAAAAAAAAAUAAAAAGAAAAAAUCUAAAAAUUGAAAAUAGAAAAAAAAUGAAAAAAGAUAGAACUAGAAACUAAUAGAAAAAGAUAAAAAAUAGAAAAAGAAAAUAAAAAGAAAAAAAGAGAAAUUAAAUAAAAAAAGAGAAACUAAAAACAGAAAUAAAAACUAAAAUUAAAAAUACAAUCAGAAAAUCGAAAUAGAAACAAAAAAGUAGAAAUAUGAAUUGAAAACAUAAAAUCGAAACAGAAAUAGAAAAAAAACAUAAAUAGAAAGAAAUAGAAACUGAGAACGAAAAUAAAAAUGCAAAUAAAAAUAAAAAUAAAAAUAAAAAUUGGAAAUCAAAACAGAAGUGAAAACGCUAGAAAUUAAAAAUAAAAAUGUAAAAAAUAUAAACUAAAACCAAAAAAUAAAAAUAAAAAUAAAAUCGGAGAAUAGAAAUAGAAAAAAAAAACAAAAAAAUUAAAAAAAUAAACAAAAACCAAAAACAGAAAUACAAAUACAAAUAGAAAUGAAAUAAAAAGGAAAACCAAAAAAAUAAAACAAAAAUUAAAAGCAAAAAAAAAAAAUUUGUGAGAAAUAAAACUGAAAAUAAAAAAUAAAAAAUAAGAACAUUAAAAAACUAAAAAAAAUAAUUGUAAACUAAACACAAAAAAUAGAAAUAGAAAAAGAUAAAAAAUAGUAAACAAAAAAAAUUAUAAACUGAAAAUACAAACAUGAAAAACUAAAUGAAGAAAUAGAAAAACUUAAAUUAAAAAUCAGAUUUAACUGUAAAACACGAAAACAGAAAACAAAAAAAAUAAAAAUAAAAAAAUAAAAAUAAAAAAAAAAUAAAAACAAAUGUAAAAAAAACACAAAAAAACGAAAGAGAAAAUAGAAAAAAACGAAAUAAAAAACAGAGAUAAAGAAUAAAGAGUAAAGAAUAGAAAUAAAAAGAAAAUAAAAUAAAAAAAUAAUUUAAGAUUAAAAAUUUAAAAUAGAAACUAAAAAUAAAAAAUUAACAACAGAAAGAGAAAGAGAAAGAGAAAUAACAAAUAUGCGGACAGUAAAAAAACUAAAAACAUAAACAGGAAGCUGAAAUAAAAUUAAAAGCAGACAAUAAAUAUGAAAAACAAAUAAAUAAACAACUAAAAAACAUACAUGGAAAUAGAAAUAAAACCUGAAAAAAAUAAGAAAUAGAAAUGAAAAUUAAAAAAUAAAAGAAACCAAACAAUAAAACAUUGACAAUGAAAUGAAAAUAAAAUUAAGAACUAAAUAGAAGUUGAAAUAAAACUAAAAAUAAAAAUAAAAAAUAAACAAAUAAAAAACUUAAAAAAACAGAAUAGAAGAACUAGAAAAAAAAAUUGGAAAAAUAUAAAAGCUAAAAAGAAGAAGAAAAAAAAAGAAUACAAAAUAGGCAUAAAAAAGAGCCAUAAUGUAGAAAUAAAAAAAAGAGAAAAGAAAUUAAAAAUGGCCAUAAACAAAGAAAUUAAAAGUGAAAAUAGAAUUAUAAAGAAAAACAGAAAUAGGAAUGACAAAAAAGAAAUAGAAAUAGAAAACAUAAAACGAACCAGAAAACAAAAUCCCCUUUGCAAAAGACUGAAUAUAAAAAGAAAUAGAAAAUAAAAUUAAACAAACGAAAUAAAAAUAUAAACAGAAUGAAAUCAAAAAUAGAAGUAGAGUAUAAACAAGAAUACAAAUCGAAAUAGAAUUAAAAAAUAAAAAGAAAAAUUAGAAAAAAGGGAAAAAGAAAAGAAAAGAAAAAAAAGAGAAGUUAAAAAAGAAAAUAACAAAUAAGAAAAUUUCAAAAUAAGAAUAAAUUUAGAAAUAGAUAAUUAAAUAAAAACUAAAAUGAAAUCGAAUCCACUAAACAGAUAGAAAAUAGAAAUAAAAAAAAAAAAAAAACAGGAAAAAAAAACGAAAUAGAUAUUUAAAUAAACAUUAAAUAUAUAAAAAAAAGAAAAAUUAAAACUUAAACUAAAACUAAAAAUUAAAAAAUAGAAAUAGAAACUUAAAAGAUAAUAUAAAUUUAAAAACAUAAAAUAACUGAAAACAUAAAUAAAAUAAAAAAUUAAAACAUAAAUUAGAAAUUGAAAUACAUAACAAAAAGUAGAAAUAAAAGUAGAAAUAGAAAACAAAAAUAGGAAUAGAAGCAGAAAAUAAAAAUAGAAAUAGAAAAAAAUAUAUAUAAGAUAUAAACUAAAAAAAUAGAAUAAAAACUGAAAAUAAAAAUAGAAAUCGAUAAAAUCAAAAAAAAAUAGAAAUAGAAACAAAAAUUAAAAAAUGAGAACAUAAAAAGAAAUAAAAAUAUAAAGAUAAAAUUAUAAGAAAAAAAAAUAGAAAAAAAUUUUAAAAUUUGAGACAUAAAAACACUGAAAAACAUAAUAGAAACAAAAAUUAAAAUAAAAAUCUUAAAUAGAAAUUUAAAAUAAAAAUAGAAAUAUAAACUAAAAAUAGAAUCAGAAAACAUAAAUAGAAUCAAAAAUAGAAAUAGAAAAAACAAAAACAAAAAAUACAUAAAAAAAUCUAAACUACAAAAAAUAAAAUAUAAAAAUAAAAACAAAAAAAUAAAAAAAGUGAGAAAAAUAAAAAGAGAGAAAUAAAAAUAAAAAAUAAAAAAUAAAAAAUUGAGAACAUAAAAACUAAAAUAUUACAUGUAGGAAGAGAAGUUGUUCCUCUUAAAAGAUAGCUAAUUGCAAAAAUAAAGAAAAAAAAUUUCUAACUUUAGCCGUCAGAGUUACUACUAAUAACUACUAUAAAGGAAGUAACCAUAGCGUGUUUCAAUGGCUGUGUACUAGAUUAAUUAGCUAAAGCCAACCUAGAAUACAAAUCUUUAUACAGAUAUCUAGGGCAAAGAUAGAACCCCAUAACGCGAGAUGGUUGAAUAGAUCAAAUAUUUUAGAUUAGCUGAAAUUAUAUUCUUAUAUGCUAACAAAAACAUAAAAUAGAAAUUGAAAUACAAAACAAAAAGUAAAAAUAAAAAUAAAAAUAAAAUCAGAAAACAUAAAUAGGAAUAGAUGUAGAAAAAAAUAGAAAUAGAAGUAGAAAAAAAAUAUAAAAUAUAAACUAAAAAAAAUAGAAUAAAAAUAUAAAUUAAAAACAGACUUAGAAAAAUAAUAGAAAUUGAAAAAAAAUAUAUAAAUGAAAACUAAAACUAAAACUAGAAAUAGGAAUAAAAUCAAAAAAUAAAAUAAAAUAGAAACAAAAAAUAAAAAAUAAAAUUUGAGAACAUAAAAAACAAUGAAAACAUAAAAAAAAUAGAAAUAUAAAAUCCACAUAAACAUCAAAAAAAAUUGAGAACAUAUAAAACAACUAAAACAUAAAUCGAAACAUAAAAUUAUCCUUAAAAAAUAAAUGAGAAAUUAAAAAAUGAAAAUAGAAAUAGAAACAAACAAAACAAAAAAAUCCCUAAAAAAAAAAAAACAAAUAACAAAAUAAAAUCGAAUAAAAAAUAAAAAAUUGAGAACCAAAAAUCUGAUAACCCUAAAUAAAAACAUAAAAUAAAAAACAAAAGCAAAAAAAUAAAAUUCAAAAAAACGGAAAAUAGCACUCGAACCAAGAAAUAACAACAGAAAACAGACAAAAAUCUAGAAAAAAUAGCAAAUAAAACUCGCAACCAAAAAAGGAAAACAGAAAUAGAAAUAAAAAUAACAAAUAAAAAUAAACACCCACACAAAAACACCCAAUCUAAAACUUAACAAUAACAUUAAAACUAAAACAGCGCGACUCCAACACCUUUAACAAUUGAUUAAAUACAAACUAACACACUCCAGGUCGAAACCUACGUGUGCCCCUUAACAGAUAGCUCCUUCCCAACAAAAAAAGGAAAAAUAAUUCUAACUUUGCCUUUAGGGUUGGUAACCUAAUAAACUAUUGUAACUGAAGUAACUUUAGUGUGUUUCGAUAGUUCGUAAAGUCACUACUUAACAACCAAACGGAACUACUAAUAUUUUUAUAGAUACUUAGGCCAUAGGAAAGAACUGUGGAUACAGUCCAUGGGAGCCAAGACAAUUAAGCCAAAUAGAAAGCCCCAGGACCAAGGCUUCAUGCCUGCCAAUUCUUCAAUCCUCUCUUCCAGAAGCGCCCCCUCCCCAAUUGACAUCUGUCAGAAGACAAAGUCUUCUGAGAGAGGCGGGAGGAAAAGAAUGGCAGAGAGAGAAGGAUGCGGCUGGUGAUUGUCAACAUGGAGCCGAUCUACUCGAUAAGGAGAGAGAUCAGAUGAGAGGAAGCGAGUGGCGGGAGAAGUCAGAGAGUGAGGAAGAGGGCAGUAUAGAUUGAGUGAGUGCUGUGAGUGAAGGAGCGCCGAUGUGAGAUAGAGAGAAGAGUGAGUUGAGUGUGAUAUCCUCCUUGGUAUUUAUUGUACUUCCAGUUCUGAUAGUGAAUUCAACAAUUCCCUCCGUGACGUAGGCAUUGUGGCCGAACCACGUAAUUCUUGUCUUGGGUGUGUGUUGUGUUGGUUUCGAGUGAUGGUAACCGUUGUUGGGGCACAACAAUUGGUAUCAGGCCAAUUCGAGUCACGGGAGGUCACCGGAGGGCCACCGCGAGUCACAUUUCACUUCUGACCAAUUCGAAUGCAAAACUUGAGAUUUGAGUAUACCAUCACCGUCGUCUCUGUCGAUACGAAGCUCCAGCACCAAACGGAGCAAAAUCGGACUCCAAACGAGCCCUCAGCGCCGAUUGAAAAGGUCGGAGCAUCAGAUCCACGGCCACACGCGCGCGAGAGGGUGAAGACGACUGAGCUUCACGCUCCACGCGCUGCCCGCGCCCGCACGGCAUCGAGGAGGCAUGUCGCGCGGCCCAGCGCCAACACGCGCGCCCAAGUGGCUCACGCGCACGCACGCGCCUUGCACGCGCCAGCAAGUGGCGGCAAGCGCUGACACGCGCCUCCACGCGCCAGCAAGUUGAUCGUGAGUGAGCCCGAGCUGCUACGCGCUCGAGCGCGCGAACCCUCGCGUUUGAUAACGCGCGAGCCGACUAGAGCCGGAACGCGCCGAUCCCGGUCAACCAAGAGCCGUUGACCGUUGACCCGAGCCGCUUACCGAUCAACCUGAGCCGUUGGACGAGUGACCAGCCGAGCCGCGACCAGUCAAGUCCAGCGUUAACCAGCCGCCGCUGACCGUUGACUGGUCAACGUUGGACCUUAACCAGCCGUUUGACCCGAAAAGUGAUGCGUGAAAUUACACUUGCGGUCCCUGAACUUCUGAUAUUUUCAUUUGGUCCCUGAAGUUUGGGACAUGCAGUUUGGGUCCCCCGGACUUUGGAAAUUGCAAGAGGUCCCUGGAAAAAUUGAAAAUUUCAAUUUUAGUCCCUAAAGUUUCAAUUCGAGCAAUUUGGGUCCCAGAAGGUCUGAUUGUUUUGCCGAAAAAGCCUCUCUGAGUUUUCUCGGCGUCGGAUCCAUCCGCGGGUCGGUUUCGAAGAUUUUGACUUCUAUUCUAGAGACGUAAUAUGGCGGAGUCUAAUUUGGGAGCUAUGAUAUGCUUUCAGCUACAAAUUCGCUUCUAUGGAAAACCGAGGAUGGAGACAUACUAUUUUGCAAAGAGAUUUGCAUGAUCCUUAGAGAGUAAAGGAGAAAAACGGCAGAGAAGAAAGGAUGAGGAGUGGACGCAGAGAACAGAAAAUAAUCGGGCUAAUCGAAGUGCAUUGGACACGAGGUGUUCCACCACGAGCCAAGAGAGAGUGCUUACGAUUUAGGACCAAAUGGAGAAGAAAUGUACCAGCGAAGGACAUCUCGGAACAGGCCUUUAUUGAUGAGGAGGCUGUAAAUUUGAAACUAAGAGAGGGACCGUGGGAAAUUACAAGUGAGUUCCAGAAUUUGGUCAACCAAUGAGCAGUGUUGACCGAAUAUUUGACGAUAGAUGCAGGAACUAUGCUUUGGAGUUCUUUACUGAAGUUGGGAGACAUUGGUGGGUUCUCUCAAUAAUUCGGCGCAGGAUGGGAAGUGACCUUUGAAUACAGUCAAGGAUGCCUAUUUUCAACGAAGCAGCACGGCCGCAGAGAUGGGAAGACGAGCGAAGUGGUCGCAGGCCUACAUCCAGACGACGCCGGGAAAGAGGUCGAGGGUCACCAGAGGAAUAAUGGGAGCGGCGGGCGAGGUCACAUCAGGGGGUAGCCGUUUUACGUGUUUUUUCGGGAGCAAGAAGCGGCUUAUGAAGAGACAUUGCCCAACGUAUCCAGCACAGAUCCCAGUCUUCAGGAGACCGCAUCCGCUCGGCAUCCCGUGAUGACCGCUUCCGAUCCUGAUGCAUUCCUCGUAUCAUCGGCAGAUAGAUCAGCCUGGGUAUUGGAUUCAGACGUGCUACCAUUUUUGUAGCGACAGGCAGAUGCUCCACAUAGUCACACUGCGAGGGCCUUGUACGGCUGGCCGAACAACAGCCGACCCAAGUUGGUGCCAGGGCCCAGUCCGUUCCGCACUGGCAGACGGAGGUAUGUCACGUGACCGAGGUACGGCAUGUUCCCCAACCUACGCAGCAUUUAAUUCCCUCGGCAUGCUAGAUUCAAUGGGUGCGCAUUGCCGCCGGGCGGGAAUCUUGCGAAUUCCCCAGGCAAACACCGAGCUGCUGACGGGGACCGGCCGAUCAAGGACAUCUCGCCUGGAGGGCCUGUCAACGGCCGCGGAUGCUGUCCGACAUAGGUCCCGUGCUAUAAGACGGGACGGAAUGGACAAGGGAAGCAACAGUGCACACCGGCACACAAAGCACGCGCAGAGACACCUGGAGGCGCAGAGUGGUACGCAAGGAGCUGCUUGAGAAAGUGCGAAGUCUGACCGCGAAAAGACCAGUGCGCCAGUGCCGGACGUCCCCUAGCACAAGGUCCAGCGGAAGGAGGACAAAGUCGAUUCGACGGUUGUAAAUCGACAGCGCGACGUCGCCGAAACGAGUCUCUUUUGCUUCGAUUGAUUCGUGGCAGUGAUUUUCAGAUGUGUACACAAGGGAGGAGAGAGCGAGCCCCGACGACUCGCAAAGUGAUGUACUUUGCGGAAGCUCUCCGUGAGGGGGAGCUGAGCACCUAAGGAAGAAGGUGCAGGCACUUCAGAUGGCGUGGGCAUUGCCCAUGAGAGGGCAAGAUUAUCUCGGAUGCAGUUUGCAGAUCUUACGGGGGAGCUGGAUCAGACGUUGUCAGGAUGGAAACUUGAAGAGUCAGAGUCCCCGUCCAAUGGGGCUGGAGGGGGCGAUUGUUGGAUCCAGCCCAGGGAGCCAAGCCCAUUAAGCCAAAUAGAAAGCCCAAGGCCCAAGUCUUCCAUGCUUGCAAUUCCUUCAUCCUCUCUUCCAGAAGCAGCCUCAAGUUGGCAAUAUGUCAGAGACAAAGUCUCUGAUAGAGGCGGAGGAAGGAAAAUAAUGGCAGAGGAGAGACGGAUCGGCUGGUGAUAUGUCAACAAUGGAGGCGAUCCUCAUAAGGGAGCAGAGAAGAGAGGGGAAGUGAGUGGGGGAUAAGUCCAGAGAGUGAGGGAAGAGGGCUGUAUAAAUUGAGUGAGUGCCGGAGUGAAGAGAGCAAGACUUGAGAUAGAGGAAGAGUGAGUGAGUGUGUCUCCUCCUUUGUAUUUAUUUAAUCAUUUUGAUAGUGAAUAACAGAUUCUCCUCCGUGGACGUAGGCAUUGUUGGCCGACACGUAAAAUCUUGUUUGUGUGUGUGGGGAUGUUAGUGGAGUGACUGGUAACUCGUGUGGGCACAACAAGAAACCCCAUAAUGCUAAGAUGGUUGAUAAGAAUAAGUCUUAGAUAAGCUGCCUUUCUAUAUUCCUUGUAAUAGGAAGGUUUGACAGCCUCGAACACUCACGCCUUGGUCUCAAUGGAUUCUCCAUUGACCAAAAAAAAGUUGGCCCAUUUAUUAAAAGAAGAAUAUGCAAAAUCACAAGGGAGCAAUUCAGUUCGGAAAAUAAUCAAAACAAAAUAGAGAGAGAUGGCGGUCAUGUGAGUCAUGCAAAAGUCUUGAACACGCUAGAGAGAGAGAGCAACACUAACUCUUCUAUAUAUUAUCUUCCAAUCCCAUUUGACCUCUUUUUAUUUUGUUAUUUUAUUUUUAUCUAUUGUUCGACAAAAUUAUUAAUUAUAUUGAAAGGGAAACAAGUUUUGAUAACUUCAUCCUGAAAACUAACAGGUGUAUAUUUUCAAUGAACAUACGAUAAUUAAAGUUUUUUUCGACCUAUCGUGGGGUGAAAUGUAUUUUCCCAUAGUACUACUGCUAACAAGUAACAAUUAUGACAAAUAUAAAAUAUAUAAAGCUUCUUCCUUACCUUCAUUAGCCGAGAAAUGAUUGAAACAUAGACUGGGUAGUGGGUAUAUUUUGAUCAAGUUUUUUUUCCUUUUUUAUUUUUUUUUUUUCUCCCUUUUUUAAAAAAAAAAAGACAAAUUUUAGUUAAAUAUAAAUAUAAAUAUGAAUAGGGAGCAUUGUCAAUCACCAUUUGGAGAAUAUAUUGAUCAAUAAUAAGGAUCAUAAAAGUUGCGUCAAUAGUUAGAAUGUUCCCUUUAUAUUGAAAGAGAUUGGGUAAUCUAUAAUUUAGAUAAGAAUCAUUAUCGGAUAAGAAUUUGGAACUAUUCAAUAAUAGGAUCAUAGUUCUAGAAACGACCGGACAUUGAUAACGGUCAAAGCACAGUUAAACGGUCAUGUUCAACCAGGUUCAACCGGAUUUAUAAUUAAUUAAAAAUAAAUUAUAUAUUUUAUUAUAAAUAAUAAAAAAUAUUUGUUGUACCCAUUUAUAGUAAAAAUUAAUCAUAGUAAAAAUAUUAAAAAAUUAACAAAUUCAAUUCAAAAUUUGAGGUCAACCUGUAAAAAUUAAACCUUCAAUUGUUCUGUUUAAAAAAACCGCGGUUCAAUCAGGUUAGCUUGGAUUUCCGUAAAAUAGUGUAACGAAAACCGGUUUAAUACCGAUUUCCGGUUGAACCGGUCAGUCGCUCGAUUUAAUAAUAUGAAUAGGAGAAACAAGGAUAUGGAUAUUCGACGAUUUGGAAAAGUGAAUCGUCUCGAAUGUUCACUG